rnacentral:rRNA from 1 species
AUUGAACGCUGGCGGCAGGCCUAAAACAUGCAAGUCGAGCGGAGCGGCGGACGGGUGAGUAAUGCCUAGGUAUCGGCCUGGUAGAGUGGGAGAACGUCAGGAACAGGGCGCUAAUGCCGCAUCAUAUAAGAUGAGCGUCGGUCGACUUAGCUAGUUGGUGGGGUAAAGGCAGACCAAGGGUACGAUCCUUAACUGGUCUGAGAGGAUGAUCAGUCACACUGGAACUGAGACACGGUCCAGAGUCCUACGUGAGGCAGCAUUGGGGAAUAUUGGACAAUGGGCGAAAGCCUGAUCCAGCCAUGCCGCGUGCGUGAAGAAGGUCUUCGGAUUGUAAAGCACUUUAAGUUGGGAGGCGUUACCAACAGAAUAAGCACCGGCUAACUUCGUGCCAGCAGCCGCGGUAAUUC